UUUGCUUUAUAGCCCAGGAGGAUGAGAACCUCCGGGGGUAAGAGGUUCGACUCGAGCGUAGCGAGAGAACGUUGCGUCAGCAACGGCCCGCAG
rnacentral:sRNA from 1 species